CGACAGAGCCCCCAAUUUUGUAGGUCGCGCGUUCUCGCCGACAGAAAAUGUGCAUCGAGCGCCCCACCAAAAUGUUUCCUGGUAUAUAUGGAACAAUGAUGCCUUCAAGAAGAAAACGUAGUAGACGAAGUAACGACGGCGGUAGCAGCGGCGCGACAACAGCACGUAUUUUUCGAUUCUCUGAUAACUCUUGCCAGAAAAGAGAUAAACUGCGAGAGAAAUCCUGAUUUAAAGAUGAUGAUAAUGAUGAUGAUGAUGAUGACGAUGAUGAUGAUUAUGACGAAGAAGAAGAAGAAGCGUGAAUGUAAACGACGCUUCGCGUAGGACGUUCUCGAGCAAACUGCUGCUCGUGGCCAGGUGUUCCGCCUCUUUAUUCCUUUUGGCUGCCGUGAGUACAUGAAAGCCCCUGGCUAUAUAGGUACCCGCAGGCUUCUCGAUGGUGGGGAGCUUAUUCUUAUUUAACAGAGCGACGACGAAGCAGGAGCAGCAGCAGCAGCAGCAACAGCAACAGCAGGAUCAGCAGCACACACAUACACACAGCUUCAAAUCCUCCCCCUUUCCACCAUUUCGUCCCUUUUUCUCGCCUUCUCUCUCUUUCUCUUUCUCUUUCUCUUUCUGUUGAAUUUCUUCGUCUAUCCAUCCGGUGUCCCUUUCUCUCUUUCUUUCUCUCUCUAUCUUUCUGUCUUUUUUCUUCCUCUCGAUCCCCUCUUACUUCAUCACUUGCUUUCCUUUUGGUUUACGCACCACCCCUCUCUUUUUCCUCUCCUUAGCCGAUACUCCUUUGUCGUGUACCGAUCUGCCGUCGAGGAGCCCGCCAAAAUUGUAUCAGCUGUCCUGGAUUUUCAGCUACGCACCUUUCAAGACUCAACUAUACACCAUUUUUGUACGUUUGUUCGUUCGUUCGUUUAGUUGUUUGGUCGGUCUUUUACGUCCUUCUUCACCGUGUAACUGACGAUGAUGUUCCAAAAAAAAAAUACAACCAUCUCUCCCAAUCUGAUUUAUUACGAUUUUAAACUUACAAUACCGCGCUAUUAAAAAUUCCUUUCUUGUUAAACUGUCCGUUUUUUUCUGUUUUAUUCCAAUUAAUUAUUUGCAUCGUAUCAUUUAAGAAAUCUUCUUUUUUACAAAUUAUUUCUUUUCAGAUAUAUAUGUAUGCAUGUUGUAAAUACAUUUAUGAUUUGAUUAAUUACAAAAUUUCUAAAUACUUCCAAGACGAAAUUGAUUUGCAAUAACUGUGCAUGUUAUUUAUUAAUAAGUGUUAAGUAGAAAAAUCAUAGUAUAUAGAAAAAUGAUAACAACACGGUUGCUUUCAAGGACUAUUCAUCCGGUCGUUUCUUUCCUUCACCUGGGACAGCUGGAACUCAGGACGACCACGUGCUCUCUCGACUUCAACGAGCAAUCCCAGCAUAGCAGAUUGUACUCGCGUCCUCUUCUUUUCCAUUCUCGCGAGGGGUUGACCUUGCUCCCUGUGUAAUAUCUCACCCUUAACGUGGAACUUUGGAUUCGGAAUAACGACGAGUGUCAGGGACGAACGGGCGUGUGUCGGUUGUGUUGCUCGCUAGCUCACUCGCAUGCAUGUAUGUAUGCAUGGCUACAUACAUAUCUUUUUAAUAGAAGAAGAUUUUUUGACUGUGGGUUAUUUGCGUGCACGCCUGAUCUUUUCUCUUCGCUGGAUAUUUUGAAGGUCUCUCCUACUCGUAUACCACCUAACUUUUCUACCUACGUUAAGUCUUGUAGGUACAGGCCAGCAGGACACUGCCGAUCACGUCGUAGUAAAACGUUUGCAGCUUGCCCCAGCCGGCGGCCUAUAUGUGUAGACCGUCACCCCAAGGAGAACAUUUUUCUUUGUUCGACAUCGUCCGUCCGUAAGGAUUUUCAUCGACCAUGAGACCGUGAACGAGAGAGAGAGAGAGAGAGAGAGAUAAAGAGAGAGCUUCCAGAGAGAGAGAGA